CACAACCAAAGAGAGAGAUCUCUCUACCAAAGAGAGAAUUGGAGAAGAAAAUUGAGGCAAGCUUGAAGAAAAUUGAAGUAGCUUGGAGUUGAAGCUUCAUCUUUAUCUUCUCCUUCCUUGGUCUAAGUGGAAGCUUGUGUUUGAGGUAAGCUUCAUGAACCUCUAAUGGUGGAUUGCUAGGGAAUAAUAUAUAUAUCCUAGAAAUGGAUUUAGAGGACUCCCUAGAUGCUAAGUAGAAGCUAUUUGCUUGAAUUAAAGGCUAAUAUGGCUAUUCUUGCAAUAGUAGCAUAUUAGAGCUCCAAAUUGGGGUUUUUGCUUGUGAGGGUUG